GGAGUCGAGAAUGAAUGGGUUUUCGGGGGUUAGCUGUCUCUUUAAGAUUGAGUCGAAAUUUCUAAAAAGGUGCAAAAUCCUUUAAUCUGAAAAAAGACGAGAAGACCCUUAGAGUUUUUACUAUAAAAAGAUUAAAUUCUUUUAUUGGUUUUUGCUGGGGCGGCAAAGAGACAAUAAACUCUCUUUUUGUAGUUUUUAGAAGACGUGAAUUUAAAGAAACAAUAAACUACCUUAGGGAUAACAGCAUAAUUAAAUUUUAGUUUGUGACCUCGAUGUUGGACUAGGAAAAAUUCUAGGUUAGCCGCCAA
rnacentral:rRNA from 1 species